CCUACGGGAGGCAGCAGUGGGGAAUUGUUCGCAAUGGGCGCAAGCCUGACGACGCAACGCCGCGUGGAGGAUGAAGAUCUUCGGGUCGUAAACUCCUUUCGAUCGAGACGAAUGGCCCUCGGGCUAACAUCCUGAGGGAGUGACGGUACCGAGAGAAGAAGCCCCGGCUAACUCCGUGCCAGCAGCCGCGGUAAUACGGGGGGGGCAAGCGUUGUUCGGAAUUACUGGGCGUAAAGGGCUCGUAGGCGGCCAACUAAGUCAUACGUGAAAUCCCUCGGCUUAACCGGGGAACUGCGUCUGAUACUGGAUGGCUUGAGUUCGGGAGAGGGAUGCGGAAUUCCAGGUGUAGCGGUGAAAUGCGUAGAUAUCUGGAGGAACACCGGUGGCGAAGGCGGCAUCCUGGACCGAUACUGACGCUGAGGAGCGAGAGCCAGGGGAGCAAACGGGAUUAGAUACCCCGGUAGUCCUGGCCCUAAACGAUGAAUGCUUGGUGUGGCGGGUAUCGAUCCCUGCCGUGCCGAAGCUAACGCAUUAAGCAUUCCGCCUGGGGAGUACGGUCGCAAGGCUGAAACUCAAAUGAAUUGACGG
rnacentral:rRNA from 1 species